rnacentral:rRNA from 1 species
UAGUCAUAUGCUUGUUUCAAGAACUAAGCCAUGCAUGCCUCAGAAUCACUGCACUGCAGGAAUCUGCGCAUGGCUCAUUACAUCAGACGUAAUCUGCCGCAAAUAUUUUGCGGUUUCCGCAAGACUGGAUACCUUGGCGAAACGCCAAGCUAAUACAUGAAUCUAGUGGGUGCCAUCCGUUCAAUGCGGGGGAGGUUCGCCGAGCCCGCAGCGAUGCACCUUGCGAAUGAAUGAAAUUAAAACCAAUGCCGCGGACGCGGCAGCAAUACCAAGAAGUGUUGAUGCAAUUCAUUCCGUGCGAAAGCUGAAUUUUCAGCGUCUUUUGACGAACAACUGCCCUAUCAGCCAGUGAUGGCCGUGUAGUGGACUGCCAUGGCGUUGACGGGAGCGGGGGAUUAGGGUUCGAUUCCGGAGAGGGAGCCUGAGAAAUGGCUACCACUUCUACGGAGGGCAGCAGGCGCGCAAAUUGCCCAAUGCCAAAAAAUUUGGUGAGGCAGCGAAAAGAAAUAGGCCUCCUUAACACCUUUCGGUGUUUGGGAGAUUCCAAUGGGGGAUAUUUAAACCCAUCGAACAUCGAGUACCAAUU